rnacentral:rRNA from 1 species
UACGUAGGGGGCAAGCGUUGUCCGGAUUUAUUGGGCGUAAAGAGCGUGUAGGCGGCCAGACAGGUCUGCUGUGAAAACUCGAGGCUCAACCUCGAGACGCCGGUGGAAACCGUUUGGCUAGAGUCCGGAAGAGGAGAGUGGAAUUCCUGGUGUAGCGGUGAAAUGCGCAGAUAUCAGGAAGAACACCCGUGGCUAAGGCGGCUCUCUAGUACGGUACUGACGCUGAGACGCGAAAGCGUGGGGAGCGAACAUG